ACACAUGCAAGUCGAGCGGAAACGAUCCUAGCUUGCUAGGAGGCGUCGAGCGGCGGACGGGUGAGUAAUGCAUAGGAAUCUGCCCGGUAGUGGGGGAUAACCUGGGGAAACCCAGGCUAAUACCGCAUACGCCCUACGGGGGAAAGCAGGGGAUCUUCGGACCUUGCGCUAUCGGAUGAGCCUAUGUCGGAUUAGCUAGUUGGUGAGGUAACGGCUCACCAAGGCUGCGAUCCGUAGCUGGUCUGAGAGGAUGAUCAGCCACAUCGGGACUGAGACACGGCCCGAACUCCUACGGGAGGCAGCAGUGGGGAAUAUUGGACAAUGGGCGAAAGCCUGAUCCAGCCAUGCCGCGUGUGUGAAGAAGGCCUUCGGGUUGUAAAGCACUUUCAGUGAGGAAGAAAGCCUUGAGGUUAAUACCCUCGAGGGAGGACAUCACUCACAGAAGAAGCACCGGCUAACUCCGUGCCAGCAGCCGCGGUAAUACGGAGGGUGCGAGCGUUAAUCGGAAUUACUGGGCGUAAAGCGCGCGUAGGCGGCUUGAUAAGCCGGUUGUGAAAGCCCCGGGCUCAACCUGGGAACGGCAUCCGGAACUGUCAGGCUAGAGUGCAGGAGAGGAAGGUAGAAUUCCCGGUGUAGCGGUGAAAUGCGUAGAGAUCGGGAGGAAUACCAGUGGCGAAGGCGGCCUUCUGGACUGACACUGACGCUGAGGUGCGAAAGCGUGGGUAGCAAACAGGAUUAGAUACCCUGGUAGUCCACGCCGUAAACGAUGUCGACUAGCCGUUGGGCUCCUUGAGAGCUUUGUGGCGCAGUUAACGCGAUAAGUCGACCGCCUGGGGAGUACGGCCGCAAGGGUUAAAACUCAAAUGAAUUGACGGGGGCCCGCACAAGCGGUGGAGCAUGUGGUUUAAUUCG
rnacentral:rRNA from 1 species